UUUAUCGAUGGAACUCAUCACUUCUUUUGUUUUGGAUUUAAAGUAAAACUGGCGUCUAGAUCCGACUCUUUUUUUUUUCCUUCGAAGAAUCGUUGGCGAUUGAGAAGAUUAAGUGUAACUGUCGUGUCUGACCAGAAAAAUGGGCUUACUCUCGCUCUAAACGACGCGUGCAUCCACGGAAGUGGAACUUGCUCGUCGAGUAAAAUUAAUACGGAGUGCUGUGUGUCGCGUCUAUCUUUUUCCAGACAUCUAGUCUCGGCUCACGGUCGCCGGCGACUUUGCGCCGCAUUUUGCGUUCUCAUCGAGGCGUGAGACGUCGAGUGGAGGCAGGAGUGAGAAAAACCGGGAAGAUCGGCGGCGCGGUAUUUUGCAUGGAGUGGAGCGAGUUUUCAGCCGACACACGAGAAUCUCUUUACAAGAGGAAACUCGGAAUAUGACGGAAGAGACGUUAUCAGAAGUCGUCGAUAAGAUUUCGUGAAUUUCCAAGAAGAUCCACGGAUUUGAGAACGCAAUUUUAUAAACGAUGUAUAAUUAAUAUACCGCGGGAAUGUGCACGCUCCGCCUGAACAUGCCUGAAUUACGAGCACUUGACGAGAUGGGAGCAGGAAUGCCUGGUGGUACCGAUAUAUUUGCCGUUCUAUUUUCUGAAUAGGCACUCAAAGUAGACACGUCGAGAAGCUGUCAGUCAAUGAUUUAUAUCGUUCGUCCGCGGCCGCCACCGCCGGCCGCCACCGCCGUUUCCUCUCUUUAAAGCCCGAAUCGCCCACAUUAUCGACACGAGGGCCGCUUUUGUGGAGGUAGAAUGGAAAAAGUGUGCCCUUGAGAAUACACCCUAUCAAAGCGUGCGCGCGCGCGCGCGGGAAUUAUCAUUGUGUCCACCGGCCGAAAAGACGGGACAAAAAGCGUAGCGGUCGAAAGCCGAUCGGUUAAAAUGUCAUAUAUGCCUAUCUCGUUUCUCACGUCAUUAGACCACUAAGGACGCGACCUAAAAUAAGACGAGGGUAGAGCGAUCAUUUUCAUUCGGAAAUAUGCGCUUCGCACACACGAAGAAUAAGUAAUGUUAUCCUUCUGAUAAUACAGCCUGAUUACGUAUCGAGAAGAGCCGAGUGAAAUGUACGAAUCGAAGUCAAACUAGUCGGUUCUGUCAUCGAGAACGAACAAACGUCGAGGAACGUCACAUGACGUACGUGCGCAAAACGACGUAGCUAUUUUCUCUGGCUUGGCUAUACUCGAAAAUAGUAAUGCUUUAAUCGUGUCUCAUUCGAGCGCGACUACAGGCUAGGAAGGUGAUUCGGUGGUUGAGCCCUAUUUCGCAUUACGUCACGGUAAAUUGAUGAUAGCCAUUUAUCGCAAAGGGUAACAUUAAAGUAAAUACAAUCAGGAUAUCGUUAGAAUGACUAGUGAUUCUAAGGUAUAGUGUCGAUUCUAAAGACCGUUAAAUUAUAUCUUCAAAUUUUCUUUAUAAAAGAUCAAAAAUUUUGUUUAUCAUCCCUCUCUUACACACACGCGCGCGCGCCCUCACAAAGAAAGAAUUGGCAGCUUCUUUAAUUUUGUUUUUCAAAAAGUUAGAAAAAGAGAAGCAAAUCUGGAACAAUUUCCUUUAACUUUCUAAAUGUAUAAAUGCAGUAAACAUUCAUAGUAAACAAAAUUCAUGUUUACAUAAAAGAGAAAAUAAGAUACUAAACUGUAGCAAGAUUGAUCACUUUAGCUGCAAAUCAUUUUCUUCAUUCCGGAAAA